rnacentral:rRNA from 1 species
CACUGCCGAGAAAAGCCUCUAGAUAGAAAAUAGGUGCCCGUACCGCAAACCGACACAGGUAGUCAAGAUGAGAAUUCUAAGGUGAGCGAGCGAACUCUCGUUAAGGAACUCGGCAAAAUGACCCCGUAACUUCGGGAGAAGGGGUGCUCUUUAGGGUUAACGCCCAGAAGAGCCGCAGUGAAUAGGCCCAAGCGACUGUUUAUCAAAAACACAGGUCUCUGCUAAACCGUAAGGUGAUGUAUAGGGGCUGACGCCUGCCCGGUGCUGGAAGGUUAAGAGGAGUGGUUAGCUUCUGCGAAGCUACGAAUCGAAGCCCCAGUAAACGGCGGCCGUAACUAUAACGGUCCUAAGGUAGCGAAAUUCCUUGUCGGGUAAGUUCCGACCCGCACGAAAGGCGUAACGAUUUGGGCACUGUCUCAACGAGAGACUCGGUGAAAUCAUAGUACCUGUGAAGAUGCAGGUUACCCGCGACAGGACGGAAAGACCCCGUGGAGCUUUACUGUAGCCUGAUAUUGAAAUUCGGCACAGCUUGUACAGGAUAGGUAGGAGCCUUUGAAACGUGAGCGCUAGCUUACGUGGAGGCGCUGGUGGGAUACUACCCUAGCUGU